rnacentral:rRNA from 1 species
GACGAACGCUGGCGGCGUGCUUAACACAUGCAAGUCGAACGGAAAGGCCCUGCUUUUGUGGGGUGCUCGAGUGGCGAACGGGUGAGUAACACGUGAGUAACCUGCCCUUGACUUUGGGAUAACUUCAGGAAACUGGGGCUAAUACCGGAUAGGAGCUCCUGCUGCAUGGUGGGGGUUGGAAAGUUUCGGCGGUUGGGGAUGGACUCGCGGCUUAUCAGCUUGUUGGUGGGGUAGUGGCUUACCAAGGCUUUGACGGGUAGCCGGCCUGAGAGGGUGACCGGCGACAUUGGGACUGAGAUACGGCCCAGACUCCUACGGGAGGAAGCAGUGGGGAAUAUUGCACAAUGGGCGGAAGCCUGAUGCAGCAACGCCGCGUGCGGGAUGACGGCCUUCGGGUUGUAAACCGCUUUCGCCUGUGACGAAGCGUGAGUGACGGUAAUGGGUAAAGAAGCACCGGCUAACUACGUG